UUAGGUUUGGCCCUCCUUGCUUAAGCCACUGAGAAGAGUGACUCUGCUCCAGAUGGCAUAGACAGAUUCUUUUGCAUGGAUACUGUGCCCCAAAUCCCUGUGAUCUCACUUUCCUUCAGUCACUGGCAAGAGAGGUGGGCCUCCAUGGUUAAGCCUUGAAAGCCAAGGCAGAGCCCCUAGAGGCCACCAGGACAGCUGCUUUUUAUUCUUCCCCAUCUUUUUCCUUUCCCUCCCACCCAACCCUCCCUCUUUUCCUCCCCCCAACCUCCUUUCCAGCCAGCACUCGGUGGGGUCCACCUUUGUCAGGCUGCCUAAAGGAGCUGCCAGCCCCCAGAGCAGGCCCACAAAACAGAAAACAACUAUUGGCAAGCACAGAAAAGAAGAAAAACCACAAAAUUCAGGGUUGCCUUUGUCUACAAAUAAUUGCAGCUCCUAGGAGGGGAGAGGUCGUGCUCAGCAUGAAGCUGGACAUUCUCUUGUGCUUAGGAUAGUCCACCUCACCUCUCUGCACUGAUUUCCCUGUCUCCAAGAAAAUAGCAAGAAUACCAUGUGUAUACACAAAGAGGUGCCCUUUAUGGGUAUGCCUCUAUGUUGGUUGUUAGCAUAGCUUCUUGGGGAAAAGGAACUAGGCGUAAGAGAAGUGUCCCUUCUUGGGGCUUUCUAUUACCAAGGUCCUGUGCACACAUAACAUACAGGUAAGGAGUGUGCAUGAGCACAUCGUGCAAGCACACACAUCGACACACACUAGAUUCUAAGGGAGGGUGAGGGUCAGGCUUUCUAGACCUGGGCUGGGCUCCUGCUGGAGCAGCUCAGACAGUGGUGACAGAGAGCAGAGGGUUGUAGAUCCUUUUUCCAUCAGCUGAGCGGGCACCAUGAGCCAACAUCUCCUGGAUGGUGAUCCAGUUGUCCAGAAUCUUCUUGUUUCGCUUCUUCAUGGUUUUACGGUGGCUCAGCGCAAUGAUGUUGAGCUCAGGUUUGCUGUCACCAUUCUGCUGCUCCCUUAGACACUCCAGACGGCUCUGCAUCAUGAACUCACGCCGCUUCCGUUGCUCCCGUGCUCGGAUCAGGUGUUGCUUCCUCUCUUCCUUGCUCCAGUAGCGGCCCAUCUUCAUCUCACUCACUGCAUCAUCAUCAGUGGUCAUACCACUGCGUUCCUCUCGGAUCUUCAGGGCCCUGGCCUUCAGCAGCCGAUCUCGCACAGGUCGCUUGGCCACAUAGCGGGUUCCAUCACUUCGCACCUUCACCUUCCACUCCAUGCGGGGUGCUUCGACAGCUGCAGCUGCCACCCCACCCACCCGAGGACCACUAGCCAAGCUCAAGGAGCCAUGGCCCAGAUCCUCCAGGGUGCGUGGCGGGGCCAACUGCACACAGCUGUGGUACUGCUCAAUCUCCUGGCCACGAUGGCGCCUGGAGAGGUAAGGGCUGCCUUCAGGGCCCACACGCUCCAGAGUAACACUUGUCUUGGUGCUCCGGCGGACACGCUCUUCUGUGUGCUGUCUCCGGCCCACUUCAGGAUCCCGAGAGAGUGAUCGGAACUUAGCUGGGCUCCCUGGUGAAGGAGCCCCCUUGAGGUGGGUGGUGACAGGAGGGCCAGAAGGGGUCCGAUUCAAGUUGGAAUUGCCAGCACCAGAUCGCUUCAGCGGGCUCUCAGGCAGAGGCUCCACAAGAAGUGGAGUGCUGCGGCAGCUCUCCCCCGUGUUGUAAGCGCUGGUGCUAUCUUUGUCUGAUUUCUCUGGCAGUUCAGAGAUAUCAGACAGCUCAUGCUUUUUGGGCUCACUGGCUGCCAGGUCAUAGAGACUUUCCUCCUCCAGCAGCCAGGCCUUCAUACAGCGCUCCCGCAACUGCUGCAUCUUCUGUGCCCGCAAGAUAUUGCGGCACUUGAACUCUAGGUGCCGAAGCUCUUCCUCCAGCAUGGCCAUCUCAUGGCCUAGGCUCUCAUUGCGGUUGACAUCUAGGGCACUGUUGCCACUGGAGGCCCGGGAGAAGAAGAUGCCCAGCUGGUUGCCAUUUUCCAGGUGGCACUUGAUCUCCAGCAGCUCCCGGUAGCGUUCAUACUCCUCAUCAGUGAGCCCAGCUGCAUGGAGGUAUUGGUUAAAUCCAGAAGAAGGUAUUAGAUCCUCUGGAACUGGAGUUAGAGGUGGUUGUGAGACAUCUAUGUGAUUUCUGGGAACUGAACUUGGGUCCUUUGAAGAAGCAGUAAGAAUCAUCCUCCUAAAACACUUCCCACAUGCAUACUCCCCUUUAAAACAGUUUCACUAUGUAGCUCUAAUGAACCGCAAGCUCCU
rnacentral:lncRNA from 1 species